AACGAACGCUGGCGGCAUGCCUAACACAUGCAAGUCGAACGAGACCUUCGGGUCUAGUGGCGCUCGGGUGCGUAACGCGUGGGAACCUGCCCUUAGGCUCGGAAUACCUCUCUGAAAGGGGGGCUAAUACCGGAUAACUUCCUCGGAUAAAAGGUUUAUCUCCCUUGGAUGGGCCCGCGUUGGUUGAGCUAGUUGGUAGUGUAAAAGCCUACCAAGGCGACGAUACAUAGCGGGUUUGAGAGGCAGAUCCGCCACACUGGGACUGAGACACGGCCCAGACUCCUACGGGAGGCAGCAGUGGGGAAUAUUGGACAAUGGGCGAAAGCCUGAACCAGCAAUGCCGCGUGAGUGAUGAAGGCCUUAGGGUUGUAAAGCUCUUUUACCCGGGAUGAUAAUGACAGUACCGGGAGAAUAAGCUCCGGCUAACUCCGUG
rnacentral:rRNA from 1 species